CCCUUAGAGUUUGAUCCUGGCUCAGGAUGAACGCUAGCGGCAGGCUUAAUACAUGCAAGUCGUGGGGCAGCAGGUCUGUAGCAAUACAGAUGCUGGCGACCGGCAAACGGGUGCGGAACACGUACACAACCUUCCUUUAAGUGGGGGAUAGCCCGGCGAAAGCCGGAUUAAUACCCCGUAAAAUAUUGAAAAGGCAUCUUUUUAAUAUUAAAGCUCCGGCGCUUAAUGAUGGGUGUGCGCCUGAUUAGGUAGUUGGCGGGGUAACGGCCCACCAAGCCUGCGAUCAGUAACUGGUGUGAGAGCACGACCAGUCACACGGGCACUGAGACACGGGCCCGACUCCUACGGGAGGCAGCAGUAAGGAAUAUUGGUCAAUGGACGCAAGUCUGAACCAGCCAUGCCGCGUGGAGGAUGAAGGUCCUCUGGAUUGUAAACUUCUUUUAUUUGGGAAGAAACCCAUGUUUUCUAAUGUGGUUGACGGUACCAGAUGAAUAAGCACCGGCUAACUCCGUGCCAGCAGCCGCGGUAAUACGGAGGGUGCAAGCGUUAUCCGGAUUCACUGGGUUUAAAGGGUGCGUAGGCGGGUUGGUAAGUCCGUGGUGAAAUCUCCAAGCUUAACUUGGAAACUGCCGUGGAUACUAUCAAUCUUGAAUGUCGUGGAGGUAAGCGGAAUAUGUCAUGUAGCGGUGAAAUGCUUAGAGAUGACAUAGAACACCAAUUGCGUAGGCAGCUUACUACACGAAUAUUGACGCUGAGGCACGAAAGCGUGGGGAGCAAACAGAUUAGAUACCCUGGUAGUCCACGCCGUAAACGAUGGAAGCUAGCCGUUGGAGAGCUUGCUCUUCAGUGGCGCAGCUAACGCAUAAGCUUCCCGCC
rnacentral:rRNA from 1 species